rnacentral:rRNA from 1 species
GACGAACGCUGGCGGCGUGCUUAACACAUGCAAGUCGAACGGAAAGGCCCUGCUUUUGUGGGGUGCUCGAGUGGCGAACGGGUGAGUAACACGUGAGUAACCUGCCCUUGACUUUGGGAUAACUUCAGGAAACUGGGGCUAAUACCGGAUAGGAGCUCCUGCUGCACGGGGGGGGUUGGAAAGUUUCGGCGGUUGGGGAUGGACUCGCGGCUUAUCCGCUUGUUGGUGAGGUAGUGGCUUACCAAGGCUUUGACGGGUAGCCGGCCUGAGAGGGUGACCAGCCACAUUGGGACUGAGAUACGGCGCAGACUCCAACGGGAGGCAGCAGUGGGGAAUAUUGCGCAAUGGGCGGAAGCCUGAUGCAGCAACGCCGCGUGCGGGAUGACGGCCUUCGGGUUGUAAACCGAUUUCGCCUGUGACGAAGCGUGAGUGACGGUAAUGGGUAAGAAAGCACCGGCUAACUACGUG